AGAGUUUGAUCCUGGCUCAGAACGAACGCUGGCGGCAGGCUUAACACAUGCAAGUUGAACGGGAUUUGUGUGGUGCUUGCACCAUAUAAUGAGAGUAGCGCACUGGUGAGUAACACGUGGGAACGUACCUUUUGGUGGGGGACAACAUCUGGAAACGGAUGCUAAUACCGCAUAAGACCUGAGGGUGAAAGAUUUAUCGCCGAAAGAACGGCCCGCGGAAGAUUAGGCAGUUGGUGGGGUAAAGGCCUACCAAACCUACGAUCUAUAGCUGGUCUGAGAGGACGAUCAGCCACACUGGAACUGAGACACGGUCCAGACUCCUACGGGAGGCAGCAGUGAGGAAUAUUGGGCAAUGGAGGCAACUCUGACCCAGCCAUGCCGCGUGAGUGAAGAAGGUUUUCGGAUUGUAAAGCUCUUUCGGAUGUGACGAUGAUGACGGUAGCAUCUAAAGAAGCCCCGGCUAACUUCGUGCCAGCAGCCGCGGUAAUACGAAGGGGGCGAGCGUUGUUCGGAAUUACUGGGCGUAAAGGGUGUGUAGGCGGUUAUGUAAGAUAGCGGUGAAAUCCCGGGGCUUAACCUCGGAAUAGCCGUUAUAACUAUGUAGCUAGAGUUAUGGAGAGGAUAGCGGAAUACCCAGUGUAGAGGUGAAAUUCGUAGAUAUUGGGUAGAACACCAGUGGCGAAGGCGAGUAUCUGGCUGUCAACUGACGCUGAGGCACGAAAGCAUGGGGAUCAAACAGGAUUAGAUACCCUGGUAGUCCAUGCUGUAAACGAUGAAUGCUGGUUGUCGGCUUUAGGGUCGGUGACGAAGUUAACGCGAUAAGCAUUCCGCCUGGGGAGUACGGUCGCAAGAUUAAAACUCAAAGGAAUUGACGGGGACCCGCACAAGCGGUGGAGCAUGUGGUUUAAUU
rnacentral:rRNA from 1 species